rnacentral:misc_RNA from 1 species
AUGAACUUAUUAAAACAACAGACUCAUAUAUAUGACAGAAACACAGCAAACUUGGUCAAGGGAUCGUAGAUCAUUAUACCAUCAAAUAACAAAGGGACAGAUGCUAAGAUACUGCAUAUGCUUACAUCCAGUAAAAGAACGGGGACUUGACAUAAUGUGCGUUGGAGAUGCCACAAGUGAAAAUCUAACCUAGGGCUUGGUAACUGUAUUCUCAAGAAACCAUGGCAAUGAAAGAGGAGG